rnacentral:rRNA from 1 species
UACGAAGGGUGCAAGCGUUACUCGGAAUUACUGGGCGUAAAGCGUGCGUAGGUGGUUUGUUAAGUCUGUUGUGAAAGCCCCGGGCUCAACCUGGGAAUGGCAAUGGAUACUGGCAAGCUAGAGUGCGGUAGAGGGUAGUGGAAUUCCCGGUGUAGCGGUGAAAUGCGUAGAGAUCGGGAGGAACACCAGGUGGCGAAGGCGGCUACCUGGACCAGCACUGACACUGGAGGCACGAAAGCCGUGGGGAGCAAACAGG